UGUAGUAUAAUGUUUAUGCAUAUGAAUUUUUGAAUUUCAAUGUAAAACUUUAUUGUUUUUGUUACAG
rnacentral:tRNA from 1 species